rnacentral:ncRNA from 1 species
CACGUGGACUGUUACAUCAAACCGUAGUAGACACUCCUUGCAGUUUCGAGACGGGACAGGAAGAAGCGUGAA